AGUUAAAUAGCUUAAUUAAAGCAUGUAUUUUGAAAAUAUAAGAUAGGAAAUUCAUAAUUCCAUUAACUU
rnacentral:tRNA from 1 species